ACCUAUGACACGCGUGUCAGAGGUGACACGCGAAAUCAUUUUUUUGGUUGAUUUUUCUUUGUUAAAUGGCAUUUAAGUAUAUAAAAUAAAUAUCAAAAAUACAAAUCUUUGUUUUACUAUGUUUGCAAAUAUCAAAAAAUUUCUAUAUGUGACACAGCACCAGAGUUAAGUUAGGGUUUUUCAAAAUGCUGACACGCCGAGCUCAAAAGGUUCGCCAUCACUGUACUAAGGAAACAGCAUCUUUUAUAGUAUUAGUUUUCAAUAUACAUUUGUCCUCACAUACAGAAAAUUCUUAAAUGAUUUUGCAAAGUCUUACUGUUUUAAAAUGUUUUUAUGUGUUUGAGAAGACAUACUUUGUAUUCUAUACUUUCUAUUGUGUGGGAAUCAUCAGGAUGGGACAUUUAAUAUAUUUUUACUCUUUAAAGAGUUAGAACACAGCAAAAAUGAGGUUAGUGUGGGGUGGCAAUAGAGAACUGUAUUGGCUUUGAGAAGGGGAAAAACUAAGUAUUCAGAAUGAAUCACCUGUCUAUUAUGUAAUAGAUGAUUUCUGUAAUGUCCCCUCUCAUCUAGUUUCUUCCUCUGUGUUGGUUCAUUAGACUUACAGUUUCAUAAUGUACAACAGUUAUCUUUAAAUGCCUCUCCUGUAGAAUAUUAAGUAUUCUACCACUGAAGAGUUUGGAUGUGUAGUAAUUUUGUGAUGCUUUAGAAAAAUAUUCUAAGCACAAAAUAAACUUUUCUAAGACUUCACUAAA